CGGUAAUACCGGCAGCUCRAGUGGUCGUCGCUUUUAUUGGGCCUAAAACGUCCGUAGCCUGUUUGGUAAAUCUGUGGGUAAAUCAACCAGCUUAACUGGUUGAAUUCUGCAGAGACUGCCAGACUAGGGACCGGGAGAGGUGUGGGGUACUCUAGGGGUAGGGGUAAAAUCCUGUCAUCCUUAGAGGACCACCAGUUGCGAAGGCGCCACACURGAACGGAUCCGACGGUCAGGGACGAAGCCUAGGGGCACGAACCGGAUUAGAUACCCGGGUAGUCCUAGGUGUAAACGCUGUGAACUUGGUGUCGGGAGUCCGCAAUGGGYCCCCGGUGCCGGAGUGAAGAUGUUAAGUUCACUGCCUGGGGAGUACGGUCGCAAGGCUGACGGUAAUACCGGCAGCUCRAGUGGUCGUCGCUUUUAUUGGGCCUAAAACGUCCGUAGCCUGUUUGGUAAAUCUGUGGGUAAAUCAACCAGCUUAACUGGUUGAAUUCUGCAGAGACUGCCAGACUAGGGACCGGGAGAGGUGUGGGGUACUCUAGGGGUAGGGGUAAAAUCCUGUCAUCCUUAGAGGACCACCAGUUGCGAAGGCGCCACACURGAACGGAUCCGACGGUCAGGGACGAAGCCUAGGGGCACGAACCGGAUUAGAUACCCGGGUAGUCCUAGGUGUAAACGCUGUGAACUUGGUGUCGGGAGUCCGCAAUGGGYCCCCGGUGCCGGAGUGAAGAUGUUAAGUUCACUGCCUGGGGAGUACGGUCGCAAGGCUGA
rnacentral:rRNA from 1 species